rnacentral:miRNA from 2 species
CACCACAGUGUGGUUUGGACGUGG